CGGUCGGUUGACACCGUCCGAUUGCUGCUCUCCACGCAUUUUGACGAAGCAUUUGAAGAGAAGCUCAGCUUGGCAGAAGGUGUGCAGUUCGAAUCAAAAUGGCUGACUCUGCGU